AACGUAGGUGGCAAGCGUUAUCCGGAAUUACUGGGCGUAAAGAGCUCGUAGGCGGACUGUCACGUCUGCUGUGAAAAGCUGGGGCUUAACCCUGGCCUUGCAGUGGAUACGGGCAGACUAGAGGUAGGUAGGGGAGAAUGGAAUUCCCGGUGUAGCGGUGAAAUGCGCAGAUAUCGGGAGGAACACCGGUGGCGAAGGCGGUUCUCUGGGCCUUACCUGACGCUGAGGCGCGAAAGCGUGGGGAGCAAACAGG
rnacentral:rRNA from 1 species